AUGACCAUGUUCUCACUAGCUCUUCUCCUCAGUCUUCUUCUCCUCUGUGUCUCUGAUUCUAGGGCAGAAACAACUGUGACCCAGUCUCCAGCAUCCCUGUCCAUGGCUAUAGGAGAAAAAGUCACCAUCAGAUGCAUAACCAGCACUGAUAUUGAUGAUGAUAUGAACUGGUACCAGCAGAAGCCAGGGGAACCUCCUAAGCUCCUUAUUUCAGAAGGCAAUACUCUUCGUCCUGGAGUCCCAUCCCGAUUCUCCAGCAGUGGCUAUGGUACAGAUUUUGUUUUUACAAUUGAAAACAUGCUCUCAGAAGAUGUUGCAGAUUACUACUGUUUGCAAAGUGAUAACUUGCCUCU